rnacentral:rRNA from 1 species
AAAACAGUUCGUUGCCAUUUGAUGAGCCCAUAUGAGAUUAGCUAGUUGGUGUGGUAAUGGCUCACCAAGGCGACGAUCUCUAGCUGGUUUGAGAGGAUGACCAGCCACACUGGGACUGAGACACGGCCCAGACUCCUACGGGAGGCAGCAGUGGGGAAUAUUGCACAAUGGGGGGAACCCUGAUGCAGCCAUGCCGCGUGUAUGAAGAAGGUCUUAGGGUUGUAAAGUACUUUCGUGGAGGAGGAAGGGUUUACGUAAUCGUGGACAUUGACGUUACUCCAAGAAGAAGCACCGGCUAACUCCGUGCCAGCAGCCGCGUAAUACGGAGGGGCGAGCGUUAUCGAAUGACUGGUCGUAAGGGCAUGUAGGCGGAUGAUUAAGUUAGAUGUGAAAUCCUUGGGCUUAACCUACGAAUUGCAUUUAAAACU